GACAGAGGGUGCAAACGUUGUUCGGAAUUACUGGGCGUAAAGCGCGUGUAGGCGGCUAUGUAAGUCGGGCGUGAAAUCCCACGGCUCAACCGUGGAAGUGCACCCGAAACUGCGUAGCUAGAGUCCUGGAGAGGAAGGUGGAAUGCUUGGUGUAGAGGUGAAAUUCGUAGAUAUCAAGCGGAACACCGGUGGCGAAGGCGGCCUUCUGGACAGUGACUGACGCUGAGACGCGAAAAGCGUGGGGAGCAAACAGGG
rnacentral:rRNA from 1 species